rnacentral:tRNA from 1 species
CCUCGAUUAGCUCAGUGGUUAGAGCGCAGGUCUUAUGAGCCUGCGGUCGUGGGUUCGAGCCCCACAUCGAGGA